rnacentral:rRNA from 1 species
CUCCGUGCCAGCAGCCGCGGUAAUACGGAGGGUGCGAGCGUUAAUCGGAAUUACUGGGCGUAAAGCGCAUGCAGGUGGUUUGUUAAGUCAGAUGUGAAAGCCCGGGGCUCAACCUCGGAAUUGCAUUUGAAACUGGCAGACUAGAGUACUGUAGAGGGGGUAGAAUUUCAGGUGUAGCGGUGAAAUGCGUAGAGAUCUGAAGGAAUACCGGUGGCGAAGGCGGCCCCCUGGACAGAUACUGACACUCAGAUGCGAAAGCGUGGGGAGCAAACAGGAUUAGAUACCCUGGUAG